AUUGAACGCUGGCGGCAGGCCUAACACAUGCAAGUCGAGCGGGGUUUUCGGACCUAGCGGCGGACGGGUGAGUAAUGCGUAGGAAGCUACCCGAUAGAGGGGGAUACCAGUUGGAAACGAUUGUUAAUACCGCAUAAUGUCUACGGACCAAAGUGUGGGACCUUCGGGCCACAUGCUAUCGGAUGCGCCUACGUGGGAUUAGCUAGUUGGUGGGGUAAUGGCUCACCAAGGCGACGAUCCCUAGCUGGUUUGAGAGGAUGAUCAGCCACACUGGAACUGAGACACGGUCCAGACUCCUACGGGAGGCAGCAGUGGGGAAUAUUGGACAAUGGGCGCAAGCCUGAUCCAGCCAUGCCGCGUGUGUGAAGAAGGCCUCGGUGUAAGCACUUCUAGCGAGGAGGAAGGGGUGGAGUG
rnacentral:rRNA from 1 species